UACAGAGGGGGCAAGCGUUAUUCGGAAUUAUUGGGCGUAAAGAGCUCGUAGGCGGUGUGUCGCGUCGGCCGUGAAAACCUGCAGCUUAACUGUGGGCGUGCGGUCGAUACGGGCAUCACUGGAGUUCGGCAGGGGAGACUGGAAUUCCUGGUGUAGCGGUGAAAUGCGCAGAUAUCAGGAGGAACACCGGUGGCGAAGGCGGGUCUCUGGGCCGAUACUGACGCUGAGGAGCGAAAGCGUGGGGAGCGAGCAGG
rnacentral:rRNA from 1 species